rnacentral:rRNA from 1 species
CUUGUUUCUUAGUGAAUCUCUGAGUAAAAAACAUAAAUGAAUCAAAACUUUCAACAACGGAUCUCUUGGUUCUGGCAUCGAUGAAGAACGCAGCGAAAUGCGAUAAGUAAUGUGAAUUGCAGAAUUCAGUGAAUCAUCGAAUCUUUGAACGCACAUUGCGCCCUCUGGUAUUCCGGAGGGCAUGCCUGUUCGAGCGUCAUUUCAACCCUCAAGCAUUGCUUGGUGUUGGGGCACCGCCUGUAAAAGGGCGGGCCCUGAAAUCUAGUGGCGAGCUCGCCAGGACCCCGAGCGUAGUAAUUAUAUUUCGUUCUGGAAGGCCCUGGCGGUGCCCUGCCGUUAAACCCCCAACUUCUGAAAAUUUGACCUCGGAUCAGGUAGGAAUACCCGCUGAACUUAAGCAUAUCAAUAAGCGGAGGAA